GACGAACGCUGGCGGCGUGCUUAACACAUGCAAGUCGAACGGAAAGGCCCUGCUUUUGUGGGGUGCUCGAGUGGCGAACGGGUGAGUAACACGUGAGUAACCUGCCCUUGACUUUGGGAUAACUUCAGGAAACUGGGGCUAAUACCGGAUAGGAGCUCCGGCGGCAGGGGGGGGGUUGGAAAGUUUCGUGGGUUGGGGUUGGACUCGCGGCUUAUCAGCUUGUUGGUGGGGUAGUGGCUUACCAAGGCUUUGACGGGUAGCCGGCCUGAGAGGGUGACCGGCCACAUUGGGACUGAGAUACGGCCCAGACUCCUACGGGAGGCAGCAGUGGGGAAUAUUGCACAAUGGGCGGAAGCCUGAUGCAGCAACGCCGCGUGCGGGAUGACGGCCUUCGGGUUGUAAACCGCUUUCGCCUGUGACGAAGCGUGAGUGACGGUAAUGGGUAAAGAAGCACCGGCUAACUACGU
rnacentral:rRNA from 1 species